ensembl:lncRNA
AUGUCGCCUCUCAGUGACGCAAUGUCCGCUCUAUACUUUUUUUCCGUUGUAGUGAUGUUCCACCACACCGGAAUAUCACGUGGUCAAAUGCGGAAGUGGUGGUUAUGUUAUAGCCGCGCGUAUGGUUUGGUUGUCGUUGUUAUGGAUCACGAUAACUCUUUGGCGAGUAUUGAAGUGCCAGUAAAACGUUUCCUUGACAUCAGAACAGAUGAUUUUGAAAACUGCACAGCGGAAUGUCGACCCCAUGUCAGUCCAGUCUUCAAUCCAUGCAUCCUUCAGCAAACACUUGUCAACUAUAAUUCUUUGAACUGUAUUGAAAAAUUAUAUAUAUAUAUAUAUAUAUAUAUAUAUAUAUAUAUAUAUGUACAGUGCCUUGCGAAAGUAUUCAUACCCCUUAUUCAACGUUUUGUUCUGUUGCUGCCUUAUGUUAAACUGCUUUAAAUUGUACCUUUUCCCACAUCAAUCUACACUCCAUACAUCAUAAUGACAAAGCAGAAACAGAAUCGUCACAACGUUGUAAAUUUAUGAAAAAAAAAAAAGUACAUUGCAUAAGUAUUCAUACCCUUAACUCAGAUUACUCAGUACUUGGUUGAAGCACCUUUACAGCCUCCAGUCUUUUUGGGUAUGAUGCGGCAAGCUUUGCAGAUCACCAUUUGGCAAUUAUCUGCCAUUCUUCUCCUCAUCUCUUCACCUCUCAAGCUCUGUUAGGUUGGAUGGGGGCCAACAGACAUUUUCAGGUUUCUCCAGAAAUAUUUGACUGGGUUCAAUCCCAGGCUCUGGUUGGGCCACCCAAGGACAUUCACAGAGUUGUCCACAAGCCACUCUUGGUGUGUGCUUAGGGUCAUUGUCCUGUUAGAAGGUGAACCUUCUGCCCAGUCUAAGGUUCUGAAUGGUCUGGACUGGGUUUUCAAUAAGACUAUUUCAAUAUUUUGGUGUACUGAGCUUUUCUUCUACUCUGACGAGUCCCUCAGUCCCUGCCGCUUACAGGUUAUAAGCAGUGCCUGGUUUACUUCAAACAUGAUGCAUAGAAUUGAGGUUCAUCAGACAAGAGAAUCUUGUUUCUCACAGUCUGAGGGUCCUUUAGGUGCUUUUUGCAAAUUCUAAGUGCGUUUUCAUGUGUCUUCACUGAAGAGUAGAUUAAGUCUGGCCACACCGCCAUAAAGCCCAGAUCGGUGGAGUGUUGCAGUGAUGUUUGUCUUUCUGUAGGUUUCUCCUAUCUCCACAUAUGAUCAUGUAGUUUAACUAGAGUGACCAUCAUCACCAAGAAGGGUAUAAAUACAUAUGCAAUGGAAUCAUUUAAGUUUUUUAUUUUAAAUAAAUCUGCAAAUAUGUUAAAAACCUGUGGUGUU